rnacentral:lncRNA from 1 species
CCGCGGUAAUGUCUCAGGUCUCCAGGAGAGGAGUAGUGGACCAAACAGGUGUCGUCGGCCGUUCAUCGUGUGAGUAUUGCGAAGAAUCACGUAGUUGGAAGGAGCACUUAUCGCAGCCUGUGACAGAGGCAUAGGUACGGGCCAGCAUCGUUCCUCGUUAUCGGUAAAGAGGCCCUACAACUCUUCAGGCUGAGUGGGUACGCAAACGAUCCUUUUGGUCCCGUCAAAAUGCCUCACAUAUCAUUGGGAUGCGGCGUUCGGCGCUUUGUGGCGCAUACGGAUGUGCUGGUUUUUGCCCGGGCACAUUUUGGCGUUUGUGAGCUGGUGAUAUAUUGGCAGCGAAAGUGGCAUAUGAAGCCGUCGAUUGUGUUUGUCUCAUGUGGUCAGCUCGUGUCAGAGCAUACAAGUAGCAUUUUUGUCAAUGCCGAGAUGUAUCGUCAAUUGCCGCAGUGACCUUGAACACCAGGGUCACCGCUGACGUAUGUCCAGUGUUCUGCUAAUAUCGCGUGCCUCGUAUAGGUAUGGGUUAGAUUGAAUGGCCGUCGUCGGGCUGCGGUGAGGUGCAUACUGGCGUUUGUGUGUGCAUGCAGUACGCGCGCUCGGUCAAUCGCGGGCGUUUUAGGGUCUGGCGUCGCCGCUUCUGGUGCCGCUGCGGCGUUCUUGACCUGCACAUCAAUGGAAUCAUUUGUAGCCAUCCUCGUUGCAGUGCUACGUUCCAGAAUGUGAAGCACUGCGAUGUCCUAACAUUGUCGCUGGUCUAUUGAUGGUUAUUCUUGCGGCGCCUGCAGUAAUCGUCCGUCUGUGUGAGGUGACGAGGCCGCACGAGUUAUUACGCACGUUUUCCCGCGAAUUCGCUCAUGGCCGGCGAAUGGGGCAGCAGAUUAGACGUGUCUUCGACGCAGCUGUGGCGUGAUUGAACUGUGACAAGUAGAUAUCUCUUGGAGGGGGAGUGGUCGCGCCAGAAGGUUCCGCAGGCACAUGAACCGUACCGUUCAUUUCGCCUUGUGACUCGGUUCAUGGCAUUCCACGAAAGAUGGUAGGUGACGCCGCGACGACCGCACAUGAUGGCGACGAGUAAGGUGGAGGAGAAGGGAAGAGAAUGCGGGCCUCGCGGUGGUACUCAGUAUGGAAGGGACGAAAUGAAAUCUCGAAUUUCGAGCAGUUUCAGCUGCUGUCACGGUGUCGGGCAUGUGUGUGUGUCUGCAUGUGUCGCGGGUCAUUGGGUCUACCGUGCGAACGGCUCCGAGCCGCCGCGAAGAUGAUGAAAUAAUAGGUUGCCUCUGGCACUUGCCUUACCGUGUCUCUUGCGAUACUAUGUGAACAACCAGGAAUAAUGUGGCGUGUAUGGUAGAGUAGGUGAGGUUGGUGACUGGAGGCCCAGACGAGUCACAGUAGACGAAGGCCUCGUCGCCUCCGUUGUAAAUACUGCACCAUUCAACAUUAUCGUGAUCCAUGGGAACUGGUUUGGCUUGCGAGGC